CUUUUACUCCCUCCGCCCGGAAAUACUUGUCGUAGAAAUGGAUACAAAUGGAUGUAUCCAUAACUAAAAUACAUCUAGAUACAUCCAUUCCUCGGACGAGUAUUUUCGGACGGAGGGGGUACUUC
rfam:Triticum aestivum genome assembly, contig: Triticum_aestivum_CS42_TGACv1_scaffold_131094_2BL